AGCUACAGAUUCUAGCGCAACUUUACGAGAAUUGAAUAGGAGCCAACAUCACCAUGCUAAGUCGGGUAAUUUUCCACACUUCCAUUUUUGUAUUGAAUGCAGUUAUACAAGUUUAAAAUACAGUCUCAAGUUUGAAAAUCUCAGAACCAUAGGUCUAAGAGUUACACUUCUCAUAGCAAGCAGUAUAAAGUUGUUUCUGUUUUAGGGAGAAAUAUGAAAACUUAAUAAAGUUAUAGCUGAAAUGAAAAACCAUGUACACAAAAUUCGUUGAUGAUCCUCCUGUAAACGUUUUUAAAUAAAUCUCCACUAAUAAGAUUCAACUUAUCUUACUACAUAUACAUAUUGCUGAAUACAGAAAAGCUAUCCAAUAAAUAUUUUAUCCUUUUAACCAACCUUUAUAUAUAUAUUUUUAGGUUUCCAUGGUUAUCUUCACUGUUGUAGAGUCGUUAUUGGUUUUCAAUCAAAGACCGGCUGGUCAGGGUAUCAGCUAAACGCACGAAAAACAGCCACAUUCGAGUGUGUAGUGAUGAUAGACGCUUGAAUUGUGAGAGCUGAGCAUUCAUCCUACCAGUUUGUGCUUCCAUUUACCUUAAUUCUUUACACAUAAAUGAUAUGUUACGUCACAAUGUGCAGUAGAGUAGUAAGGGAUAGUGGUUAGAAAGUGGUAUAAAAAAAGCAACAGUACUAUUUGCUAGAUCAAAAAAAGCUCGUUAUUAUUCCUAUAAUAUAGACUUGUAAGUUAUCCCAUUCAUGUAUUAUUUC
rnacentral:lncRNA from 1 species